rnacentral:tRNA from 1 species
GGAAGAGGCUCGCUAGCAACGAGGGCUGCUACCCCUCGUCCCUUCGGUUGAACUCCAAUGCUCUCCCG